CUCCAGCUGACGAGUCUCAAAUAGAACGAAACUUGCGUCUUGGAU
rnacentral:hammerhead_ribozyme from 1 species